AGAGUUUGAUGCUGGAAUUACAGAAGUGCGUACAGCUGGCGGCAGGCCUAUCGCAUGUAUUAUCGUUGAGGUACGCUCCAGUCAUUGGGGAGCGGCCGACGGGCUGAGUAACGCGUGGGUAUCUAUGCUAGUGGUGCGGACUAGCGUAGUGAAAUUUGUAGUAAUGUCGAGCCGCAUCAACAGUUCCACGACAGGGGAAUGAUUUAUCGACCAUUAGAUGAGCCGGCAAGUUGCAGAAAUGUACGCUCAGUAUGGUGGGGUUACGUCUCCAUCAAGGUUCGACGAUCGAUAGCUGGUCUGCACCUAUGGAUGCUGCAGCCACUCUGGGACUGAGUCGCGCCGCGCCGGCCCUCCUACGGCGAGGCAGCAGUGGGGAAUAUUGGUCAAUGGGCGCAAGCCUAAGAUCUCAGCCAUGCCGCGUGAAGUGACGAAGGUGCUCUGCGAUUGUAAAGCUUCUUUUGGCAGGGAAGAAACGUCCGUUUUCUAAUGGAGCCGACGGUACCCGUCAGGCAUAAGCCCUGUCUAACUUCGUGCCAGCAGCCGCGGUAAUACGGAUGGUGCUAGCGUUGUUCGGAAUUCACUGGGUUUAAAGGGCUCGUAGGCGGGCAUUUGUAAGUCAGUGGUUAAAUCUCCGGGGCUCAACCUCGGAAACUGCCUUUGAUACUAUCAUGUCUUGAAGUACCGGUAGAGGUGGGUGGAAUUCCUCAGUGUAGCGGUGAAAUUCGUCAGAUAUUAGGUAGAACACCGAGUUGCGAAGGCGGCUCACUGGUCCGGUUCUGAUCGCUGAGUGCAUGAAAGCGUGGGGAUCAAACAGGAUUAGAUACCCUGGUAGUCCCCGCCCGUAAACGAUGGAUGCUAGCUCGUCAGUACGCGUUGCAUAGUGUGUGUGUGAGCGACAGCAUUACGCUUAAGCAUCCCGCCUGGGGGAGUACCGACCGAUUAGGCUGAAAACUCAAUCGGCAACUGGACCGGAAGGGCUGCAUUACGCGAUCGAGCAUGUGAUCAAGUUCGACGCUACUCGAAGUAAGCCGUUACCGAGC
rnacentral:rRNA from 1 species